rnacentral:rRNA from 1 species
GACGAGGGAUCCUAGCGUUGUUCGGAAUCAUUGGGCGUAAAGCGGGUGUAGGUGGGCUUCUAAGUCAGAUGUGAAAUCCCAGGGCUCAACCCUGGAAGUGCAUUUGAUACUGGAAGUCUUGAGUGUGGUAGAGGUUACUGGAAUUGUUGGUGUAGUGGUGAAAUACGUAGAUAUCAACAGGAAUACCGGAGGCGAAGGCGAGUACCUGGACUGAUACUGACACUGAGGUGCGAAAGCGUGGGGAGCAAACAGGAUUAGAAACCC